GUCAAAUCAUCAUGCCCCUUAUGUCCUGGGCUACGCACGUAAUACAAUGGCGGUCACACAGAGGGGUGCAAAGGCGCGAGCCGGAGCAAAUCCCUAAAAGCCGUCUCAGUUCGGAUCGCAGGCUGAAACCCGCCUGCGUGAAGUCGGAAUUGCUAGUAAUCGCGGAUCAGCACGCCGCGGUGAAUACGUUCCCGGGGCUU
rnacentral:rRNA from 1 species